UACGUAGGCAGCAAGUGUUGUUCGGAGUUACUGGGCGUAAAGGGUGUGUAGGCGGUUCUUUAAGUUUGGUGUGAAAUCUCCCGGCUCAACCGGGAGGGUGCGCCGAAUACUGAGGGACUAGAGUGUGGGAGAGGAAAGUGGAAUUCCGGGUGUAGUGGUGAAAUGCGUAGAUAUCCGGAGGAACACCAGUGGCGAAGGCGACUUUCUGGCCUGUUCUUGACGCUGAGGAGCGAAAGCGUGGGGAGCGAACAGG
rnacentral:rRNA from 1 species